UAGGGAAUAUUGGGCAAUGGAUGCAAGUCUGACCCAGCCAUGCCGCGUGCCGGAUGAAGGCCCUCAGGGUUGUAAACGGCUUUUAUUCGGGAAGAAGAGCAGGGAUGCGUCCUUGUGUGACGGUACCGAAUGAAUAAGCACCGGCUAACUCCGUGCCAGCAGCCGCGGUAAUACGGAGGGUGCGAGCGUUGUCCGGAUUUAUUGGGUUUAAAGGGUGCGUAGGUGGCCUGUUAAGUCAGUGGUGAAAUACGGUUGCUCAACAAUCGAGGUGCCAUUGAUACUGACCGGCUUGAAAUAAUUGGAGGCUGCCGGAAUGGAUGGUGUAGCGGUGAAAUGCAUAGAUAUCAUCCAGAACACCGAUUGCGAAGGCAGGUGGCUACGAUUGGUUUGACACUGAGGCACGAAAGCAUGGGGAGCAAACA
rnacentral:rRNA from 1 species